UGUAGCCCGAUUUCACUGCCAAGACGG
rnacentral:piRNA from 1 species